GACAGGGGUGCAAACGUUGCUCGGAAUCACUGGGCGUAAAGCGCACGUAGGCGGUCUCGUAAGUCGGGUGUGAAAUCCCACAGCUUAACUGUGGAACUGCGCCCGAUACUGCGGGGCUUGAGGAUGGGAGGGGGAGCGGAAUUCCAGGUGGAGCGGUGAAAUGCGUAGAUAUCUGGAGGAGCACCGGUGGCGAAGGCGCUCAUCUGG
rnacentral:rRNA from 1 species